CCUACGGGCGGCAGCAGUGAGGAAUAUUGGUCAAUGGGCGAGAGCCUGAACCAGCCAAGUCGCGUGAGGGAGUACUGCCCUAUGGGUUGUAAACCUCUUUUGUCGGGGAGCAAAAGCCGGACGUGUCCGGCUGUGAGAGUACCCGAAGAAAAAGCAUCGGCUAACUCCGUGCCAGCAGCCGCGGUAAUACGGAGGAUGCGAGCGUUAUCCGGAUUUAUUGGGGUUAAAGGGUGCGCAGGCGGACUUUUAAGUCAGCGGUCAAAUCGUGGGGCUCAACCCCAUCCAGCCGUUGAAACUGGGGAUCUAGAGUGUGCGAGAGGUAUGCGGAAUGCGUGGUGUAGCGGUGAAAUGCAUAGAGAUCACGCAGAACCCCGAUUGCGAAGGCAGCAUACCGGUGCACAACUGACGCUCAGGCACGAAAGCGUGGGUAUCGAACAGGAUUAGAUACCCUGGUAGUC
rnacentral:rRNA from 1 species